GAUGAACGCUGGCGGCGUGCCUAAUACAUGCAAGUCGAGCGAACAGAUAAGGAGCUUGCUCCUUUGAAGUUAGCGGCGGACGGGUGAGUAACACGUGGGUAACCUACCUAUAAGACUGGGAUAACUUCGGGAAACCGGAGCUAAUACCGGAUAACAUUUAGAACCGCAUGGUUCUAAAGUGAAAGAUGGUUUUGCUAUCACUUAUAGAUGGACCCGCGCCGUAUUAGCUAGUUGGUAAGGUAACGGCUUACCAAGGCGACGAUACGUAGCCGACCUGAGAGGGUGAUCGGCCACACUGUAACUGAGACACGGUCCAGACCCCUACGGGAGGCAGAAGUAGGGAAUCUUCCGCAAUGGGCGAAAGCCUGACGGAGCAACGCCGCGUGAGUGAUGUAGGGUUUCGGCUCGUAAAACUCUGUUAUUAGGGAAGAACAAAUGUGUAAGUAACUGUGCACAUCUUGACGGUACCUAAUCAGAAAGCCACGGCUAACUACGUGCCAGCCGCCGCGGUAACAC
rnacentral:rRNA from 1 species